rnacentral:rRNA from 1 species
UGCCAGCAGCCGCGGUAAUACGGAGGGAGCUAGCGUUGUUCGGAAUUACUGGGCGUAAAGCGUGCGUAGGCGGUUUUUUAAGUCAGGGGGUGAAAUCCCGGAGCUCAACUCCGGAACUGCCCUUGAAACUAGAAAACUAGAAUCAUGGAGAGGUGAGUGGAAUUCCGAGUGUAGAGGUGAAAUUCGUAGAUAUUCGGAAGAACACCAGUGGCGAAGGCGACUCACUGGACAUGUAUUGACGCUGAGGUACGAAAGCGUGGGGAGCAAACAGGAUUAGAUA